GGAUAUAGCUCAGUUGGUAGAGUGCCUGCCUAGCAUGCAUAAGAUCCCUGGGUUCAAACCCAGCACCA
rnacentral:tRNA from 1 species